rnacentral:rRNA from 1 species
UCCUACGGGAGGCAGCAGUGAGGAAUAUUGGACAAUGGGCGCAAGCCUGAUCCAGCCAUGCCGCGUGCAGGAUGACGGUCCUAUGGAUUGUAAACUGCUUUUGUACAGGAAGAUAAUGACUGUACCCUAAGAAUAAGGUCCGGCUAACUUCGUGCCAGCAGCCGCGGUAAUACGAAGGGACCUAGCGUAGUUCGGAAUUACUGGGCGUAAAGCGCGCGUAGGCCGUUGAGUUAGUUAAUUGUGAAAUCCCAAAGCUUAACUUUGGAACUGCAAUUAAAACUGCUCGACUAGAGUUUGAUAGAGGAAAGCGGAAUACAUAGUGUAGAGGUGAAAUUCGUAGAUAUUAUGUAGAACACCAGUUGCGAAGGCGGCUUUCUGGAUCAACACUGACGCUGAGGCGCGAAAGUAUGGGUAGCAAAGAGGAUUAGAUACCCUCGUAGUCCAUACCAUAAACGAUGAUUGCUAGAUGUUGGAAAUUUAUUUUCAGUAUCGCAGCUAACGCAUUAAGCAAUCCGCCUGGGGAGUACGACCGCAAGGUUAAAACUCAAAGGAAUUGACGGGGA